rnacentral:lncRNA from 1 species
CAUCUGAAAAAUAACUAGAAUGCCCUUACAUGAAGCAGACAACUCAAAUACCCCCCAAGGGUAAAAUCAUCCAACUUUUUCCUCAUAUAUUUGAUGGACCCAGCGCUUUCACGACUUCACUUCGCCUCGACGCAAGCUUCAUGAUGGUGCCACGCAUCCUCCGACUCGACACCGUCCAACCGCACCAGACUCGUCCCCCGGUUUUGAGGCCACACUGGUCAAACCCUCUUGCACACCCCGUAGGUGUGACUCAUCCCUGGUUUUGAGGCCAAAUCAGUCAAACCCUCUCGCAGAUCUCGCAAGGUGUGAUUCACCCCCGGUUUUGAGGUCAAACCUGUCAAACCCUCUUGCACGCCGUGCACGACAUGACUCACCGAUGUUGACGUGUGGUCGGCCUCCGCCAAGCCCUUGACGCCUCCAAGUCUUUCGCUCCUGGCUCUCAGGCCGCCUACUCGACUCGCCUCCAUCCCGCUUGACUCGACCGACGCCGUCUCCAUCUUGUCCGUGUACUCUUACUCUUUCGUGCACCAUGUGGAUCGCCUAUGACUUCGCUUGGACUCCUCGGGUCCCUCGGUCCAAACCUACUCGUGUCCACCCUUCACAGCCCUAGUACAUCGGCAUGAACCUUUCGCUUGACCUUCACCUCAUGCCGUCGACCGCCAUGUCGCACCCUACACCUGCACAUCACAUGCCAAGAGACACAACACACAACAUAUAGUUUACACAAACACCACAACACAACACAACGCACACAACACAACACAUCCGGUUAGCCAUUAGCAUAAUCAUGCACAUAUGAAAUAUGGACUCAACCAGUAAAGCUUUAAAUCAUCUAGUCAAUCACUCAUCACAAAUAGACCAAGGCACAUCUCAACUUGGUCUCUCAAUCUCCCCCUUGAUAAGUGCAUGGACAAAAGAUGAUUUGAAAGCAAAACAGAACUCAUUUAAGUGCCCAAAAGCCAAGUAAACAUAAACAGAAGGCCACUUGAAAUGACGAGGGAUUAUGCAAGCUCCAAACAAAAAACUCUCGGUUCCCAAAGAAAACGGCAAAGACUUAACACAACCGAAGAGUCCAGCAAAAGACACAAGAGCUUCAUGAAUUGCAAAAUACCAUCAAAUCCAUUUCAACAUUUGUCAAACGCUCAUCACAAUCAAAUCAAGGCUCAUAUCAACUUGAUUUCCUCAAUCUCCCCCUUGAUGAGUGUGUUGACAACAUUCAAGCACAAAGAAAUGCUUUGAGAGGCAAAAUUUGAACAUCUCAUCCAAGUGAUCAAAAGCCAAGUAAAAGCCAAGAUCAAAGUCAUUUGAAAUGAGAAGAACCUUAAAAGCCAAGUUCUGACAUCAAAUAGGUAAAACUCUCAUCCAAGUGAUCAAAAACAACAUAAAGGCAAAGAUCAAUGUCAUUCGGCAUGAAAAGCAUCACAAAAGACAAAAUCAACUUGGAAAAGUUUCAGUCUCCAAAGACAUAGGCAAUGGCUCGACACAACCGAGACAAAGAACACAUGAUUCCUCAAGAAGAGGCACAAAGGGCUCAACGCUAAUCAUGUGAAGAUCAAAAACACAUGAUCCCCUCAAGAAGAGGCAGAAAGGGCUCAAUACCAAUCAUGUGACGAUCAAAAACUCAAACCAAAUGCUGAUUCCUGAAGAAGAGGUAAAAGCUCAACACAACUGGCAAAAGAGCAAAAGAGUGCACAAAACUCACAAGCUCCCCCUGAACACAUGCACUCCCCCUGAAAACAUGCCACAAUGAAAUGCAUGCACAAGAGCAAAAGAAUGCAUACUCCCCCCUCAAAUGCAAAACUUCCCAUUAAAUGCAAGACUCCCCCUUAAAUGCAAACAUAAGAUAUGCAUGGGAGCACAAAAUGCAUACCAUGGGUGUACAA